CCAAUUUUGUUCAAAAUAAAUGACCUUGACCUAUAUUCAAGGUCACAGGUGUGAAAUUGGCGUAAAUCUUUAAACAAUAAUUUUGCGACAGCCAAGAGCCUACCAGACCUGAUAAUAGGCAAAUAGAAUGCUGGAAUGAAGGACUAGAAAAAUUUUAAUAUGAAUAAAACUAGCUUACAAUGAUAUUUGAAUAAAGAGGUAAUCAACAUAGUAUCUUUAGAAAUGACCUCAAUCAACUUCAAAGUUGCUGUAGAGCCAGUGAGCGAUACAGGCCCAUUGGGCCUCUUGUUAUUAUUUUAUGGGAAUUAAAAAAGGCAGUAACAUUUGCUUAUCUUCCUGUACAAUGAUAUACUCCUGGCAAUCUCUAGUUUUACUGACCUGUAGGGUUUGGUUAUAUUGGACUGAUGUCAUAUCACAUCUAGUUUUACUGACCUGUAGGUCUGGUUAUAUUGGACUGAUGUCAUAUCACAUCUAGUUUUACUGACCUGUAGGUCUGGUUAUAUUGGACUGAUGUCAUAUCACAUCUAGUUUUACUGACCUGUAGGUCUGGUUAUAUUGGACUGAUGUCAUAUCACAUCUAGUUUUACUGGGCUGUAGGUCUGGUUAUAUUGGACUGAUGUCAUAUCACAUCUAGUUUUACUGACCUGUAGGGUUUGGUUAUAUUGGACUGAUGUCAUAUCACAUCUAGUUUUACUGGGCUGUAGGUCUGGUUAUAUUGGACUGAUGUCAUAUCACAUCUAGUUUUACUGACCUGUAGGUCUGGUUAUAUUGGACUGAUGUCAUAUCACAUCUAGUUUUACUGACCUGUAGGUCUGGUUAUAUUGGACUGAUGUCAUAUCACAUCUAGUUUUACUGGGCUGUAGGUCUGGUUAUAUUGGACUGAUGUCAUAUCACAUCUAGUUGUACUGGGCUGUAGGUCUGGUUAUAUUGGACUGAUGUCAUAUCACAUCUAGUUUUACUGACCUGUGGGUUUGGUUAUAUUGGACUGAUGUCAUAUCACAUCUAGUUUUACUGGGCUGUAGGUCUGGUUAUAUUGGACUGAUGUCAUAUCACAUCUAGUUUUACUGGGCUGUAGGUCUGGUUAUAUUGGACUGAUGUCAUAUCACAUCUAGUUUUACUGACCUGUAGGUCAGGUUAUAUUGGACUGAUGUCAUAUCACAUCUAGUUUUACUGACCUGUAGGUCUGGUUAUAUUGGACUGAUGUCAUAUCACAUCUAGUUUUACUGACCUGUAGGUCUGGUUAUAUUGGACUGAUGUCAUAUCACAUCUAGUUUUACUAACCUGUAGGUCUAGUUAUAUUGGACUGAUGUCAUAUCACAUCUAGUUUUACUGACCUGUGGGUCUGGUUAUAUUGGACUGAUGUCAUAUCACAUCUAGUUUUACUGGGCUGUAGGUCUGGUUAUAUUGGACUGAUGUCAUAUCACAUCUAGUUUUACUGACCUGUAGGUCUGGUUAUAUUGGACUGAUGUCAUAUCACAUCUAGUUUUACUGACCUGUAGGUCUGGUUAUAUUGGACUGAUGUCAUAUCACAUCUAGUUUUACUGGGCUGUAGGUCUGGUUAUAUUGGACUGAUGUCAUAUCACAUCUAGUUUUACUGGGCUGUAGGUCUGGUUAUAUUGGACUGAUGUCAUAUCACAUCUAGUUUUACUGGGCUGUAGGUCUGGUUAUAUUGGACUGAUGUCAUAUCACAUCUAGUUUUACUGACCUGUAGGUCUGGUUAUAUUGGACUGAUGUCAUAUCACAUCUAGUUUUACUGGGCUGUGAAACACCCACACAACCACUGGUUUACUGGGCUUUAAUUGUGGCUUCACUUCGCUAAGAUCCUGCCUCACAACCCCAAGUUUCACUAGGCUGUAAUCCUGAUUUUACUAGGCUGUAAUCCUGAUUUUACUAGGCUGUAAUCCUGAUUUUACUGGGAUGAGAUCCUGGUUUUACUGAGUUGAGAUCGCAUCUCAGGUAGGUUUGCGUUUCUUUUUUUUUUGAUCGUAUAUGUAAAAGAUUUCAUCUUGUGUCAGAAUUGUCCGAAAUCAUUAUUUCAUUGCAUGAAGAUUAGAAUGAGAAAAAAAAACAACAUUGCACUUGUGUAGCUAGCUGUACAUUUAAUAUUUCAUUUUAAACACCAAGUAAUUGUACCGUUAACAUACCUGAUUUUGUACACCAGUACUAGAAUUUGUUGAAUUAUGAUAGCUUAAAAUUUUUUGACAAUUACUUUUUUCAAAAAUUGAUGAAAAUGAUUCAUGGCAAAGUCAGUCUGUGUCACAGAGGAUUUGUAAUAGUAUUGUUAAAGAAACUUGUAUUUGUAUCAAGUUUUGUGAGUUAUUUCCCUUGGAUAAAUGAUAGAUAUUGUUGUCAAUCUUUGAAUCAUUACCAAGCAUGUUUUCUAUGUAGCGAGAUUCGCCAACAUUAUCAAACUAUUGCAUCCUAACAUACAUUAUCAGACUGCAAAUCUCACUCUACAGAUUUGGGGGUCGGGGUUGGAGGCACAAGUCACAAGGUCAGAAAACAUGGGUUUAAGGUCAGUCUAUAAUCAUUCUAUAGUAUAAGGGUUUAAACAUCUUCUUUGGCACGAAAGUCAAACUAUUGGCUCUAGAACACCUUACAUUGUAAAAGGUCAUUUCAGUUUAGGUUAAUGGUCACUGUGCACUUAAAGGGUCUUGUUCCUCUGGUUCAAUUUCAUAUUACAUUGUCAAGAUUAUUAUUUUGGGUUCAAGGACACCUUACAUCACAAAGGUCAUUACUCCGAGUCAUCAUACAUCACGGUUCAAAGACACCUUGUAUCGAGGUCAUCUCUCCAAUUUCAUAGGACAAGACAACUUGUUUGGUAAAAGUCCCAUUACUAUGGAGUUUUCUUUCAUUGUAUUCUAAAGGUACAACAUUCUGGGUUCAAGGUCAUUUUAAAAGUCAUAUCCUAUCCAAGGUCUUACAGGAUCAAAGGCUCCUUGAAAUGGCCCGUAUUCCAUGUUGAACUUGUCGUGCAUGCAGUGGUCAAUGUUCAUCAUCUGAAUUUACAAUAGAAUGUUAUUGAUAGAAGUUAUUUAGGGUUAAAGGUCAAUACAGGGGGGUGGAGACACAACAUCCCAGAAGGUAGAGAAUUGUAAAAACUCCAGACAAACAUGUCGUGGAUACAGGUGUUUACAUGAGGUCUCACCAAAAAUCCAGGUAAUCUAAAACCUUAUAGAUGUAUGCUGGUUUCGCAGAAAUGCUCAUUUCUCAAUAAAGAAAGGGAUUUUAAGAAAGAGAUUUGUUUUAGCAGUCCAUUGCAUUUGCCAGAAUGAAAGGAUUUUUAAGCAUGUGAAUUGCCACUUAGCUAAAUUUUAUACUGUUCAUUUCUUAAUAUUUAAGUUUAGAUACUGGUACAUACAAAAAGAAAAUUUGCCAGAAAGAUUUUUUAUGUACCAGUUCACAAAAUGUACUCUAUCAGUUUAACAUUUUUACAUCAUAAGUAUAAAUUAUAGAUGUAUUGUAACUAUUGUGUAUAUAUUUCUUUGCUUUGAGAAUUUAUGUGAUUUCCUGGUAAAUGUAAAUAGUAUAAAUCGGUGGCAGAUCUAAGGACCAUCUGGGCUUGUUUCUAAAUUUCCUGGGGAAUUUCCAAAAGGGAACAAACACCUGUAUUUAGAGAAAAUUUCUGGGCUGAGUUAGAGGUGUGUUUUUAUUUAAGUCCAGAAAAACUCUUUAGAUCUGCUACUUUACAUGUAUUCAAUUUCUAUCUAGUAGUGUACAUGUGGACUCUGUGUAAAUAGUACAGACAUGUUUUGUUAUUGUAUGUCUGUAGUCCUGUACAAUCUGUCUCCUGUGUCAUCACACAAAAAUGUCAAAUGUUCAUGUAGAAGUAUCAACCACAUGGUUAAAUAAAUACAACAGUUGUAGAAUCUGUAUCAGACAGAUGUGGAUACCCUUGUCACACAUUCUGUUGUCGUCUGAAUGAACGUUCAUAUGCUAAUAAUGGAGACUUUUGUGUAUUUUGUACAAAGUUGCUAAAUGUAAUUGCCCAGCCUCGUUAAAGUCUUUUUGUAGAUUUCUACAGUUCCAUUAAUGUUGCCUGUAUCUUUAAAUACAAAUAAAGAUAUUAAGGAUACAAUCGUAUUGAAGCAAUCUAUAAACGUUUAAUCCAAGUACAAGAUCCUACACUUACUUCAGUUUCCAUUGAUCAGAGAAGGAGAAUUAUAGAACAAAUCAUUUGCUACUUAAAAAAGUUGUACAGAUUUGAUGGAGUAACUCAUUUAUUGAAAUCAAGCCCUAUGUCAAUAUUCCAUUUUUUGCUGGAGUUAUUGCCCUUUGCACAUUGGAAAUUCUCAUACCUCCUCCGUAAUUACUUGUUUUCUGGACUUUUUCCGCUAUCUUUGCUACAUCAAUUUGUUACUUAGUAUGUGGUUUUAUUAUACAUGUAUUAGAUUACAGAUGAGUUUGAACCUCAUGUCAAAAUUCCAUUUUUGCUGGAGUUAUGGUCCUUUGCACACAGGUAAUUAUCACAAUUAAUUGUUUUUUUAUCCUUUUUUCUGUUCUACUUGUCAUAUCAAAUUGAAUCUUUGUAUGUGGUUUAUUCAGAAAACAGAAAUCAUGAUGCUUUUCAUAUCAUGACCAUGAAAUUUCAAAAUGACACCCUUUCAAUGAAAUAGGUACAGGCGACACUCCUACUUCUGUGGAAUUCUUAUAUAAAUUAUGACUGCCCUCCUCAAGUGAUACUUAAGACCAAAUCUGAUGGAAACCCAUUAAGGUAUUAACAAGGAUUAGUGCUUUAAAUAGAAAAGUUCCCCUUUUGGGGCCCAACCCUUCUGUCCCCAUGGGUCAAACCAACCUCAUUUAUAUAAAUAUAUGAUUGCCGUUUCUAACCAAAUUUGGUUGUGAUUCAUUAAGGCAUUAAGGAGAAGUGUUUUUUUAAAGCAAAAUUUUAGCUAGGUUCCCCUUUUUGGGCCCUGUCCUUCUGUCCCAAGGGGUUAGACCACAGCUCCAUAUAUAUCAAUUUAUUAUGAUUGCCCUCCUCUUUGAUGUUUCAGACCAGAUUUGGUUUGUUUGUGGGUUUUUUUUAAACUUUAGAAUUUUGUUUUUCAGUAUUUUCUAAAUAAUUAAACCGAUAUUAAUUUGUUCUUUACACGUUUUAAGAGGAAUUGACUACAACCAUUUCCCUGUACAAAUUCACAAAUACAACUUGUAAAUAAAGUUAUUCAUUUCUAAUAGAUUCCAUUUAAAUGUUUGUCAUCACAUGUUACAGUUUAUGACAUCACAUGUAGCUGUGAAAGACAUCACAUGUGGCUUUGUAUGACAUCACAUGUGGCUGUGUAUGACAUCACAUGUAGCUGUGUAUGAUAUCACAUGUAGCUGUGUAUGACAUCACAUGUUGCUGUGUAUGACAUCACAUGUAGCUGUGUAUGACAUCACAUGUGGCUGUGUAUGACAUCACAUGUGGCUGUAUAUUUUAACAAUUCCAUAUUACGAUCCCGAUGUUAUACUCUAUGUGUAUUUUGUGUUUGUGUACUAAAACACUAUAGAUUUUUAAUCUGUAAACCAAUCACUUCCUGUCCAGAAUGGCCUUGACGUGGGUAGUUUAGCAUAACCUAGAUUUUUUUAGAUUCACAGACUUGAUUAGAAGUAGUGAGUUACCUUCCACAGACCAACUGAUAUCUGUAAAAUACUGUAAAACAUACUGGUUCGUAUUCCAAGGCCUCUGGAUGCUUCCAACUUAUGUUUACAGUUCAGUCAGAGACAUUUCCCGGCAAUACACACAAAGCAUUGCUCUAUGUUUUCAUUCAAACUGCCUGCGACUACAUUUAUUGUUUUUAUGUGUGGUUUUCGAUAUUUGUUAUUGUUAUUGAUAUUUAUUCAGAAAUAAACAUUUACUCCAGUGUUA